UUGAAUUUCGGGAUCAAUAUGUCGGUCGUGCCUUGGUACGCACUGGCUAUUAUUGAUUCUUACCUUCUGAAGAAUCUCGAUGUCAUUAAGUUGGUGUCUUGGAGAAUCAGGACUGUUACUUUAGAAAAAUUAGAUAGUUUAAAGCAGGCUCGUGCUUGAAUACAUUAGCAUGGAAUAAUAAAAUAGGACGUUUGAUUCUAUUUUGUUGGUUUCUAGGAUUGACGUAAUGAUUAAUAGGAAUAGUUGGGGGCAUUAGUAUUCAAUUGUCAGAGGUGAAAUUCUUGGAUUUAUUGGACUAACUACUGCGAAAGCAUUUGCCAAGGAUGUUUUCAUUAAUCAAGAACGAAAGUUAGGGGAUCGAAGACGAUCAGAUACCGUCGUAGUCUUAACCAUAAACUAUGCCGACUAGGGAUCGGAUGAUGUUAAUUUUUAAUGACUC
rnacentral:rRNA from 1 species